rnacentral:rRNA from 1 species
AGACCAAAAGACCCUAAGAAUUUGAAGAUCAAAUAAAUAAUAAAUUUUUUAUUUAUUUGAUCUUGAUUGGGGCGAUCAAAAAAUAUUAAUAACUUUUUAAAUUAAAAUGAUCUAUUAAUAAUAAACUAAUGAAAUAAAUACUCUAGGGAUAACAGCGUAAUAAUUUUUGAUAGAUCUUAUAGACAAAAUAGUUUGCGACCUCGAUGUUGGAUUAGGAUUCUUAUUUAAUGAAGAUGUUAAAUAAAGAAGUUUGUUCAACUUUUAAAUUCCUACAUGAUCUGAGUUUAGACCGAUGAGAAUCAGGUUGGAUUCUAUCUUAAUAAUUAAUGUUAUUUUAGCUAGUACGAAAGGAAUUCUAAAAAUUAAUUAUUAAGAUAAUCAACUUUAUUUGCAUCAAUUUUGGAAAAA